UUGGACGCUUUGGAGGUUCUUUCUGAAAGGGUCCUAAUUUUGCUUGCCAUGGAGAACCUAGGAAGAAGCUGGCUACUCUUUGGAAGAAGAGACUGUGGGAGUUCCCUUAAGUCCUGACUGGGUGUCAGCUGGGAUAAACUGCAAAUGACGAAGAGCCAGCAGCUCGGCUGGGCUGACCCUGUAUGGAAAGAAGUGUGUUUUCACGUGUGCAGGGUGCUGGCGCGAAGCAAGGCCGCCGGCCCGAAGUGACCUUAUGAACGGCGUCCUCACUGCUGCCAUCUCUCCUCUGCAGAGAUUAAUUCAGUCACAGGAGCUCUUUGCCAGAAGACAUGAUGAGUCGCCAGGCCUUCUGUUAUUUCACCUUCUCCAGCAGAUGCCACAGAUCCAUACCGGCUGCCCUCAAGCCUCAGCCCCCGGGCCAUGGCUCAUGGGACACAGGAAUGCACGCACAGCACCUGCCAGAG